rnacentral:rRNA from 1 species
ACCUCCCAACCCCUGUGACAUACCACUUGUUGCCUCGGCGGAUCAGCCCGCUCCCGGUAAAACGGGACGGCCCGCCAGAGGACCCCUAAACUCUGUUUCUAUAUGUAACUUCUGAGUAAAACCAUAAAUAAAUCAAAACUUUCAACAACGGAUCUCUUGGUUCUGGCAUCGAUGAAGAACGCAGCAAAAUGCGAUAAGUAAUGUGAAUUGCAGAAUUCAGUGAAUCAUCGAAUCUUUGAACGCACAUUGCGCCCGCCAGUAUUCUGGCGGGCAUGCCUGUUCGAGCGUCAUUUCAACCCUCAAGCACAGCUUGGUGUUGGGACUCGCGUUAAUUCGCGUUCCCCAAAUUGAUUGGCGGUCACGUCGAGCUUCCAUAGCGUAGUAGUAAAACCCUCGUUACUGGUAAUCGUCGCGGCCACGCCGUUAAACCCCAACUUCUGAAUGUUGACCUCGGAUCAGGUAGGAAUACCCGCUGAACUUAAGCAUAUCAAUAAGCGGGGGAAAAGAAA